rnacentral:misc_RNA from 1 species
CCGCUUUUGCUUUCUCCCUUUCUUUUUUGUAAUAAAUUCUUUUAUGCCUGAGGUCGCCCUAGAAACGUCGUCGCGGUCAAAAAAUAAUUGAAUGUCUUCUUUUAGUUUCUCAUAUUUAACAUUUCUUUGGUUAAUUUUAUUUAUCUCUCGCACUCGAAAUCUAUUAGUUUCAGAUAAAAUCUUAAGAUCUUUCAAAAUCAGCUUAUUACUAAUGACAGCAUCACUAAAUUCUCUUUUUUCUUUCUUCAAUUUUUUAUUUUUGUAAUUUGCUUCUAACGUAUUCCUCAUUGCUUUGCUUCUUCUACUUUGGUUUUGUCUCUUACUAGUGCUGUUACUUUAGAAUUAGGACUUUGCAGUCGUUUUUUUCAGUCUUAUAAUUAUUUUCGUCUUAUAUUUAUUUUAGAUUCUAAUUGUGAUUUGUAAAUUUAGUUUUUUUUUUGUAUUAUGUAGCGCAUCUUCCUUAAUUUUUUUCAUCUCAAGUUAUUGACUAAUGUUUCGUGUAGAUCGUUAGAUGUAGAUGAUUGUGGCCCAUUUUCACAAAUUGAGUUUUGUCUUCUGGGUGUUUUUUCAAUAUUAUUUCCAUUAUUUUCACUUUUACUGGGACUUUCACUUGUAUAUUUAACUCCUUCCUUCAUUAAUUUCUUUUUUU